rnacentral:rRNA from 1 species
UGGGGAAUAUUGCACAAUGGGGGAAACCCUGAUGCAGCGACGCCGCGUGAGCGAAGAAGGUUUUCGAAUCGUAAAGCUCUAUCAGUAGGGAAGAUAAUGACGGUACCUACAUAAGAAGCCCCGGCUAAAUACGUGCCAGCAGCCGCGGUAAUACGUAUGGGGCAAGCGUUAUCCGGAUUUACUGGGUGUAAAGGGAGCGUAGGCGGCAGUACAAGUCGGGAGUGAAAACUCGGGGCUCAACCCCGAGACUGCUCUCGAAACUGUACAGCUAGAGUGCAGGAAGGGCAGGCGGAAUUCCUGGUGUAGCGGUGAAAUGCGUAGAUAUCAGGAGGAACACCGGUGGCGAAGGCGGCCUGCUGGACUGUAACUGACGCUGAGGCUCGAAAGCGUGGGGAGCGAACAGG